GGAGGAUAGCCCGGGGAAACUCGGAUUAAUACUCCAUAUGAUUUUGAUUGGCAUCAAUUAAGAUUGAAAGAUUUAUUGGAUAAGGAUAGGCAUGCGUCAGAUUAGUUAGUUGGUAGUGUAACGGACUACCAAGGCGAUGAUCUGUAGGGGGCCUGAGAGGGUGAACCCCCACACUGGUACUGAGACACGGACCAGACUCCUACGGGAGGCAGCAGUGAGGAAUAUUGGACAAUGGAGGGAACUCUGAUCCAGCCAUCCCGCGUGCAGGAAGACGGCCCUAUGGGUUGUAAACUGCUUUUGUAUGGGGAUAAAUCUACUUACGUGUAGGUAGUUGAAGGUACCAUACGAAUAAGCAUCGGCUAACUCCGUGCCAGCAGCCGCGGUAAUACGGAGGAUGCAAGCGUUAUCCGGAUUCAUUGGGUUUAAAGGGUCCGUAGGCGGGCUAAUAAGUCAGUGGUGAAAUUUUGUCGCUUAACGAUAAAACUGCCAUUGAUACUGUUAGUCUUGAGUGAUAUUGAAGUAGCUGGAAUGUGUAGUGUAGCGGUGAAAUGCAUAGAUAUUACACAGAACACCGAUUGCGAAGGCAGGUUACUAAGUAUUAACUGACGCUGAAGGACGAAAGCGUGGGGAGC
rnacentral:rRNA from 1 species